rnacentral:rRNA from 1 species
CCUACGGGAGGCAGCAGUGAGGAAUAUUGGACAAUGGGCGCAAGCCUGAUCCAGCCAUGCCGCGUGCAGGAAGAAGCAUCUAUGGUGUGUAAACUGCUUUUGUACAGGAAGAAACACUCCCUCGUGAGGGAGCUUGACGGUACUGUAAGAAUAAGGACCGGCUAACUCCGUGCCAGCAGCCGCGGUAAUACGGAGGGUCCGAGCGUUAUCCGGAAUCAUUGGGUUUAAAGGGUCCGUAGGCGGUUUAAUAAGUCAGUGGUGAAAUCUGGUCGCUCAACGAUCAAACGGCCAUUGAUACUGUUAGACUUGAAUUAUAAGGAAGUAACUAGAAUAUGUAGUGUAGCGGUGAAAUGCUUAGAUAUUACAUGGAAUACCAAUUGCGAAGGCAGGUUACUACUUAUGGAUUGACGCUGAUGGACGAAAGCGUGGGGAGCGAACAGGAUUAGAUACCCUGGUAGUCCACGUCGUAAACGAUGGAUACUAGCUGUUCGGAGCAAUCUGNGUGNGUAGAGAAGUAGAGUAGUAGUCCACCGUCGGGAGGUAACGGUUCGUCGAGAAGUAGUUAAACGUUAAAGGUAAAGUUAGUUACGGCGUGAGAGNGCGACGGACGACGACGAGGGAGGAGG